CUGCCUGCCCUGCCCUUCCUCUAUCGCCUUGCAUCCCUACCUGCCCUGUCUCACCUACCCGCGCUGCCUGCCCUGCCUGCAUCGCCCUCCCUGCCUACCUGCCCUCUUACCCUGCCUGCACUCCCCUGCUCGCCUCGCACGCCUGCCUGCCUCCCCUGCCCUCCCCUACCUGGCUGCCCUGCCCUCCCCUGCCUGUCCCCAGCCCCAGCCCGGCUCGCCCCCACCUCUGCAAUCCGCGGGUCUCGGCGGCGGCGGCCGGAGGAGAGGGGGGCCGGGCCCGACGUAAGGAUAUAUAGGAGCGGCCGAGGAGCCUCCACGUAGCCUAUACAAGCACAGCUUAGGAGCAAAGUCGCCCUGGCAUUUGCUGAACACUGAUCAAAGCUGGGGGUGUCACCGCAGGAACAACGCAGGGAGCGAAUUUCCCCCACGGUAUCCGUCGGAGAAGAGCGGGGGGACAUUGGCAGCGUGUCCCCCCCGUGGCAUUUUCUCAAAUUAUACCCGGUUCUGUGCUUUCCCCGCUUCUACUUGGGAAAUGACUUUGUUUUCCUCUUUCCACAAACUCUAAUCGCGGCUUAUUAAAGAAGGGUAAUGCCCA